rnacentral:rRNA from 1 species
CCUACGGGUGGCAGCAGUGAGGAAUAUUGGUCAAUGGGCUCGCGCCUGAACCAGCCAAGUCGCGUGAGGGAAGACUGUCCUAUGGAUUGUAAACCUCUUUUGUCAGGGAGCAACGCCGGCCACGUGUAGCCUGACUGGGAGUACCUGAGGAAAAGGCACGGGCUACAUCCGUGCCAGCACCGGCGGUAAUACGGAGGAUGCGAGGGUUAUCCGGAUUUAUUGGGUUUAAAGGGGGCGUAGGCGGAACUCCAAGUCAGCGGUAAAAUCGAGAGGCUCAACCUCGCUCAGCCGUUGAAACUGGCGUUCUUGAGUGGGCGAGAAGUAUGCGGAAUGCGUGGUGUAGCGGUGAAAUGCAUAGAUAUCACGCAGAACUCCGAUUGCGAAGGCAGCAUACCGGCGCCCAACUGACGCUGAAGCACGAAAGCGUGGGUAUCGAACAGGAUUAGAUACCCGAGUAGUC